GAACUCAUCGAUAAAAGGAUGGGAAUUCCGAUCACCACCUUCGACUUUUCCAAUUAAGUGCCAAAUAAUCUCUUGAUCAGUUGGAUCAAAUUUUACACCUCUUGGCAAUCCUGGCCAGUCAUGGCUGACGUCAUUGUUGUCAAUGAUAAACUGGCAAUUAGGGCAAGCUUUUGUAGGGUUGCUCUUCCAAUUCACUGUUGCAGGAUCACCUGAUGCACUCUUAAUUUUU
rnacentral:misc_RNA from 1 species